GACGAACGCUGGCGGCGUGCUUAACACAUGCAAGUCGAACGGAAAGGCCCUGCUUUUGUGGGGUGCUCGAGUGGCGAACGGGUGAGUAACUCGUGAGUAACCUGCCCUUGACUUUGGGAUAACUUCAGGAAACUGGGGCUAAUACCGGAUAGGAGCUCCUGCUGCAUGGUGGGGGUUGGAAAGUUUCGGCGGUUGGGGAUGGACUCGCGGCUUAUCAGCUUGUUGGUGGGGUAGUGGCUUACCAAGGCUUUGACGGGUAGCCGGCCUGAGAGGGUGACCGGCCACAUUGGGACUGAGAUACGGCCCAGACUCCUACGGGAGGCAGCAGUGGGGAAUAUUGCACAAUGGGCAGAAGCCUGAUGCAGCAACGCCGCGUGCGGGAUGACGGCCUUCGGGUUGUAUACCGCUUUCGCCUGUGACGAAGCGUGAGUGACGGUAAUGGGUAAAGAAGCACCGGCUAACUACGUG
rnacentral:rRNA from 1 species